GAAAUGGCAUUAUCAUUUGACCGAGAUGCAAGAAAACACACAAAAAAAAUACAGACUUCUGAAUAUAUCCCCUUUUUUAUUAUUAAUAAUUACAUCUUUACAUUACAUUAGGAAUUGAUUGUGUGUGUGUGGUUGUCUGAGAGUGAGAAAGAGAAAACAUACUAGUGGGAGGGGUGGGCUUGGUGGCUCUGACCAAAUUGUUGAGGCCCCCCUGACGGCCCCCACUUUGAAAACCACUGCCUUAGAUAGCGGUCUAUAUCUGCAUUUCUGUGAAGUUUUGUGAUCAUGUGAAUUGUGAAAAUCACUACACUAUUCUUUUCUUCCCAUUAGCAGAUUAUUUUGGAUGUGUAAACCCACACAGUGUUAUCAGAUUAGCUCUUUUAACAGCAAACGAGUGCUCAGAGCGUGUCUGUGAUAUAUAUAUAGAUAUAGGACCAUCGCUGAGCUUCCCAAGUAUCCAGCCCUGGGAGAACAGUAGCACACUGCAUCUAUAGGCUGUUCGUGUAUGUAAAGGGUCAUUAGAUAAGAUUUCUCAAAACUUCAGUAGGUAGAGCUGAAUAAGAUUUGAAUUAUUAUUAUUAUUUUAGUCUUUGAGCCCGCCUUCCUUUUCCCCAACCAAUAAGCACAAAGCAGAGGUUCAACUAGAGUUAGCAUUAGCAAGGAUUGUCAUGACAUCACUUUGAUGCACGCUAUAGAACACUAUAAACAUGCAAAAUAAGGCGAGUAAUGAUUUAACGUAUGGACCUUCGUCUCUCGUGUAGCAGAGCAGUUUGCUGUAUGAGAGGACGUCGGAGAAGAUUUCACGAUAAACGUGAAGGAAACAAAGAUGUGGGAGGUUACAGACGAUCGUCUUGGCCGCAGCGUGUACCACCAUCUCCCUGUUUCCUGUCCUGAACUGUUGUACUCCAUUGCCAGUCUGAAAAAUACCAAAAUGGUUGCUUUGUUAUAAAUAAAAAUAAAUAAAAUAAAAAAGCUCCAUGUCCUCAUUAGAAAUCAUGCAUGACCUCCUUCAAACAUUCAAGCGUCUAGCAACAUUCAGU
ensembl:lncRNA